GUUGACUAAAAACCGAGAAGGAAAUGGCAUGUUCAGCAUGUUGCAUGUAGGUUCUUUUAAGAUUUUUGUUCCGUCUCCUUACCUUGCCCCCACUGUCUAAUGUUUUUGGGUUCAUUUUUUUUUGUUUGUUUUUUUUAAUUCCUGUUUUGUAUUGAAACAUUUUUUUCUGCACUAGGCAGAGCACAGCUACCUCAAAAUUAAUAUCCCUUCUCCCCUGGUUGUUACCCCCACCCGCCUGCCCUAAAACCUAAUCUUUACAGUACUGUUGUCAGUCAACUCUUGAGGUGUGCCCACGUUGUGCAGAAAAAAAUUAAUAAACUCACCUGCCUUGUCCCCUGGUUCAUUGUGCUUUUUCAGUAUUUUAAUGAUAUUUUUUUGUUCUUAAUCGAGAUUUGCGUUAUUUAAUUUUGAGGGGAGAGGGAGGGGUUGUAAAAGAUGUAAAUGUUUCGAUCACUCGAUUCAGUCGAAUCACAAUGCUACAUCCAGCAAAACUGUCAUUGAUAUUUCGACUUUAAUAUAACACAACCUGAUCUUUUCAGACUUGUUUUCUUUCCCCCAAGAUACAUUCACUGAACCAUAAAGCUUGUGUUAAUUUAGAAGCACUGUUGCGUCUUAUAUUAUUAUACAGUUGAUAUUAUGUGCACAUACUGUACUUGAAUAUGUAUAAAUAUACCAAGUGGCUGAUUACAUAAUCUGUUGAGCACAAGUAAUACUGUGGUCUGGCCCUACUGUGGUCUGAUGCCCCAUAAAGGAAUUUUGCACAAAUCGAGGGGAGACUUCCUUGGCCAUAUUGUUGGCCCCAGCUCUGACCGCAAAGGGCUUGCUAGUAGAAAAGUCUGUAAAUCUGUACAUAGCACAUUAUCCAAAUAGUAAAUCGGUGUAUAAGUUUUAAAGUUAGUCCAUAAUACUAUCACACCGUUCCAACUUUACAUCAAUGUGAUUAAGACUAACUAGCGUACCUCUGGAGAGCAUGCUUCCGGCAGUAUCAGGCCAGCAGGGCUUGUGUUCUCAUUCUAAAAAGUGUUUGUAUUUUUAACAAGCCUAACUGUGCCAUUUUCCUCCAAUGCCUUCCGACUGCUUCCCUUACAGACUAGGGCAGAGUAAGCCUGCCGCCUCCUCUAAAGUCCUUUGCAGGAACUGUGAAGUUUUGCUUUAGUGUUGUGCAUGUGUGUUUUGAGCAACACCACAUUCUCCAAGACCUGCAUGAAAAAUGUGCAAAAUAAAAAUGCAUAUCUAUAUAAUUACAAAGAUAUACUUAAAAGUGACAAAAUGGUGUAUUUUUUAAAUGGAUGAUGAACAGUGUUUUAGGACUUUUAAGAAAUUGAACAAGGCCAGUCAUCUGUACAUGGGACUGCUCUGCCCAUGUGCAUCUUCAAUGCAUGGAGACAGACCUUUGCUUUGCCUUCAACCUUAAAUGAGGAUAUGAGUUUUCAUGCCACCUUUUUAAAACUCUGUAAAAUGUCAGUUUUAUAUAAAUGUACAAUAUACAGUGAUGCAUGUCCAAAUUGAAAGUAGCCAAAAUUAUUUUAUCGUAAAUUUAUAUUAUAGCUAUGUAUAAUGCCAUUUAAUAUGUAAUUAAAUGCUAUGAAAACUAUACGUACAGAAAAAGCAGUACAAAUGUCAAAUGAAGCUCAAAACCACCAAUUCAUCUUUUCCUAAGGAAAUCUUUUGUUGGGGGAGCGUGCAAAAUAAGCAAACAUGCCUUUUUUUUGUUUUGCGAAUCUAAGUUAUUUAAUAACGUUCUGCAGUAUCUGGGUGGGUGGUGGUGGUGCAGCAAUACUGUGAUGCAUAAUAUACUUUGAAAGAAGCAGUCAGUCCCUUAACAGGAUGUUUGAACCCCGAACAACUGUAAAUAAGAGCUACUGUUUAUUUCAGCGCUGACGAUUGUAAUGUGCAUCACACAGGCUUGUGGUUUCAGGUAAAUAAAGAUUAUACAUGA